rnacentral:rRNA from 1 species
CGUCUAUAUACGUAUAGCAUAUCAAUAAGCGGAGGAAAAGAAACUAACUAGGAUUCCCUCAGUAACGGCGAGUGAAGCGGGAAGAGCUCAAAUUUGAAAUCUUCAAGGUUUUACCUUGACGAAUUGUAGUUUAAAGAAGUGUUUUCUGUUGGAAUUUUCGGUAAAAGUUCUUUGGAAAUAGGACAUCAUAAGAGGGUGAGAAUCCCGUAUUUGACCAUUACUUUCCAGCUUUGUGAUACACUUUCAAAGAGUCGGGAUUGUUUGGGAAUGCAGUCCAAAAUGGGUGGUAAAUUUCAUCUAAAGCUAAAUAUUGGCGAGAGACCGAUAGCGAACAAGUACCGUGAGGGAAAGAUGAAAAGAACUUUGAAAAGAGAGUUAAACAGUACGUGAAAUUGUCAAAAGGGAAGCGUUUGACACCAGUGUUGUUUUCUCGAAAAUCAAUUAAAAAUGGCUGGAUUUUGUGUUGUAUUGACUUUAUCAGCUUUCUGCACUCUUUUUCCUGUCUUUUUUAAUGCACUUUUCGUUUAACAAGUCAACAUCAAUUUCUUUUGUUGUAAAAGAGUCAUUGGAAGGUGGCUUUCUUUUCGGAGAAAGUGUUUAUAGCCUUUGACUUCUGCAAUCGGAGAGAUUGAGGUCUGCAGCGUAGAUCCUUCGGGGUUAGAUACAUUUGUGCUAAGCUAUAGCCUUUCAUAGACAACUUGUUGACUAUGAUCAGUCAUGUAGCUUACUCGCUUAUGCUAUUUUACCUACGCUUAGGAUGUUGACGAUCAGCUGAGCGCG